rnacentral:rRNA from 1 species
CCUACGGGGGGCAGCAGUCGAGAAUCAUUCACAAUGGGGGAAAGCCUGAUGGUGCGACGCCGCGUGGGUGAAUGAAGGUCUUCGGAUUGUAAACCCUUGUCAUGUGGGAGCAAAUUAAAAAGAUAGUACCACAAGAGGAAGAGACGGCUAACUCUGUGCCAGCAGCCGCGGUAAUACAGAGGUCUCAAGCGUUGUUCGGAAUCACUGGGCGUAAGGCGUGCUUAGGCUGGUUCGUAAGUCGUGUGUGAAAGGCGCGGGCUCAACCCGCGGACGGCACAUGAUACUGGGAGACUAGAGUACUGGAGAGGGAACUGGAAUUCUCGGUGUAGCAGUGAAAUGCGUAGAUA